UUUAACAGGAAAGUUACUAUCCAGAAAUUAACCCACAAAGGUGGGAAGAGUAUUUACCCGCUAAUCUCUUUAUUCCCUCGCCUGACAAAAUAUCUGCAUUCCUGGGCGGCCUCAAGAAAUGAACUACAGACAUCUAUUCCCUUUGUGAUACCUCCUUGGAAUCAAAGUGUGGAGUGUAACAAUGUGCCUCCACACACUCACACUAGUUGAUGCUUCAUCUUGGUGAAAUCAAGUUUUUGGAAUUACCUUUCCUAAGAUCAUUCUAUUCACAGAGAAGGAGCUUAAUGAAACUAUGGUGGAUGUAUUCUAGACAGAAGAAGGAUUAAACCAAGAUAAAAACAAUGUGAAUGAGGAAAGUGGGAGUAACAGGGAUUCCAAGAGAAAGAAGGAGAACUGGUAAUUGAUGUGGGGCCAAACAGCACAGUACAGCAGAAAGGAUCUAAAUUUGGGAAUUAUACUGAGAUUUUCCAUUUGUCAAAAAUGAGGAGUACUAAUCAGUAGUGCUAUGGAAACAAGACACUAACAGUUAUAGUCCGGAAGAAGAGAUGAUAACAUCUGUCCCUAAAAAGAGGUAAAUUCAUUUUAAAAUGACUGCUUACGAUUAUUACUUGUUAUGGUUUUGAUUAAUUUAUCAAAGAACUCAGAUGAUGUUAUAACACCUGCUACCAGAAUUCCUCUCAGGGCAGGAUAAUCUUGGUUUGCCGAAAUACUUUUUUAGCCACUUGGGAGAGAAGUUGAAAUUUGAAGAGCAUUGUCUUGGUAGAAAUCUCUUAAAGAAUACAAUGAUUAAACUGGCUUGCAGGAGAAAUCCAGAAGAAGUUUAUUUUCUUCCUGUGAAGGAAUGAGAGAAAAAUUAAAAGUAAUGUAGAAAAAAGAAAGGGAUAAUAAAGGAACUAGAUAUAUGGAAUGGGUUAAGAGAAAUACAGAGAAAGCCCAUUGAAAAAACAAGGUGGUGUAAUAGAAAAAACUUUAUUUUAAGCAAAGACGCAUAUAAUUUUUAAGAUUCUGUUUUGGGCUGAACAUCAGCAAAAUGGUAGAAUAGGGUUUUCCACUCCUUGUCCUACUGCAUAAACAUCAACUUGAACAACUAUCUGAAACACACACAAAAAAACCAUCACAGAGCUAAGGAAACCAGAAGAGAAAUUAUAGCACCUGAGUGUAGCACAGAAAUAAGAAAAAAAUGCAUCAAAGAGGAUAGAAAGGACAGUCAUGCGUUACUU
rnacentral:lncRNA from 1 species